GCAAAGAGUCCGGAUCAUCAAGCGGACAAGCCGGAGGGAGUUCACGGGGAAAAGGCGCGCUUUAAAGUUUUUCAGGUUUCCUAGCUGAAGGGUGAUGAUCAAGCAUAUGAAUUCGAACCGAACACUUUAACAAACGCUUCCGCACAUGAUCUUUUGUUUUAAAAACUAUGUAAACAAUUGUAGUUAUCGUUUGAUUAUGAUUUCGUAAGAACAAUACAUGUAUGUUGUGUCUAAUUAUGGUCUAGAAUAUUAAAAGAUUUUGUAAACUCUAAAUUUUUGGCAUCAAGUGUAAGGUUCCAUGUCAUUAAAUCUAGUACUUUAAA